UACUAAUGGUGCUCGCGUUGUUCGGAUUUACUGGGCGUAAAGCGCACGUAGGCGGAUAUUUAAGUCAGAGGUGAAAUCCCAGGGCUCAACCCUGGAACUGCCUUUGAUACUGGAUAUCUUGAGUAUGGAAGAGGUGAGUGGAAUUCCGAGUGUAGAGGUAAAAUUCGUAGAUAUUCGGAGGAACACCAGUGGCGAAGGCGGCUCACUGGUCCAUUACUGACGCUGAGGUGCGAAAGCGUGGGGAGCAAACA
rnacentral:rRNA from 1 species